rnacentral:rRNA from 1 species
AAAUCUAAGGUUUCCUGGGGAAGGUAAAUCCGCCCAGGGUCAGCCGGGACCUAAGGUGAGGCCGAAAGGCGUAGCCGAUGGACGGCAGGUUAAUAUUCCUGCGCUACUGUGGAGAUCAAUCAUGAGUGCGGAUCGGUCAGCCCUGCGUAAGCACCAGCUUGCUGAGGCCCUUGAGGCCGCUGCAGGGGGCUCUGGUCCCGAGAAAAGCUCAUGUGGCAAAGCAGUACCCGUACCAAAACCGACACAGGUAGAUGAGGUGAAUAACCUAAGG